UUGGGUUAAAUCAACGCGGGUCCUACAAUUUGGAAAUGGAACUCGGAUAGAAUGGUGGCACAUUCAUUGAUUUUAUCCAA
rnacentral:pre_miRNA from 1 species